rnacentral:misc_RNA from 1 species
GAUGAAGAACGUAGCGAAAUGCGAUAAGUAAUGUGAAUUGCAGAAUUCAGUGAAUCAUCGAAUCUUUGAACGCACCUUGCGCUCCUUGGUAUUCCGAGGAGCAUGCCUGUUUGAGUGUCAUGAAAUUCUCAACCUUUUCAGCCUUCUUUGUUGAUCAGGCUUGGAUGUGGGAGUAUGCGGGCUUCUCAGAAGUCGGCUCUCCUGAAAUGCAUUAGCGGGACCUUUGUUGCCUGGCUUUGGUGUGAUAAUUAUCUACGCCAUUGUAGUCAAGCAGCUUAAAAUGAGGUUUCAGCUUCUAACCGUCUCCCCUGAGACAACUUUUUGACAAUUUGACCUCAAAUCAGGUAGGACUACCCGCUGAACUUAAGCAUAUCAAUAAGCGGAGGA